CGCGGGGUAGAGCAGUUCGGUAGCUCGUCGGGCUCAUAACCCGGAGGUCGUUGGUUCAAAUCCUUCCCCCGCAA
rnacentral:tRNA from 1 species